rnacentral:rRNA from 1 species
UGGGGAAUUUUGGACAAUGGGCGCAAGCCUGAUCCAGCCAUGCCGCGUGCGGGAAGAAGGCCUUCGGGUUGUAAACCGCUUUUGUCAGGGAAGAAAUCUUCUGAGUUAAUACCUCGGGAGGAUGACGGUACCUGAAGAAUAAGCACCGGCUAACUACGUGCCAGCAGCCGCGGUAAUACGUAGGGUGCAAGCGUUAAUCGGAAUUACUGGGCGUAAAGCGUGCGCAGGCGGUUUUGUAAGACAGAGGUGAAAUCCCCGGGCUCAACCUGGGAACUGCCUUUGUGACUGCAAGGCUUGAGUGCGGCAGAGGGGGAUGGAAUUCCGCGUGUAGCAGUGAAAUGCGUAGAUAUGCGGAGGAACACCGAUGGCGAAGGCAAUCCCCUGGGCCUGCACUGACGCUCAUGCACGAAAGCGUGGGGAGCAAACAGGAUUAGAUAGCCCUGGUAGUCCACGCCCUAAACGAUGUCAACUGGUUGUUGGGAAGGUUCCUUCUCAGUAACGUAGCUAACGCGUGAAGUUGACCGCCUGGGGAGUACGGCCGCAAGGUUGAAACUUAAAGGAAUUGAC